UUUAAAAAAAAAAAAAUUAAAUAACCACCCACUUUAGAGGGCGCUUUCCAAAAUAAGCGCCCUCUAAACCCUUUAAAUUUCCACUUUAGAGGGCGCUUUACAGUAAAAGCGCCCUCUAAACCCUUAAAAGUUUCCACUUUAGAGGGCGUUUUCCAGUAAAAGCGCCCUCUAAACCCUUAAAAGUUUCCACUUUAGAGGGCGCUUUCUUUAAAAA
rnacentral:lncRNA from 1 species